CCAUCUGAUCGGAUCAUGAACUCUAAUAUGUGUAACCUCAUAGGUUUGAACCUAAGCCGGUAGUAUAAGAAUAAAUUUUUAUAUCAAUCAAAGUGACCAUCUAGCAAUGGUACCCGAUGAUCGGAUAGGUCGAAUGUGUAGAACAACAUCCUUAGAACCCAUGCAGAUAUAGUUUUCAUAUAAUUCAUCCCCUUAACCAAAAUGUACAUAGGAUACCACAGAGUUCAACUGUCAACUCUGAUCAGGUUAUCCACAUUGUAAUUCAAAAUAUCAAGUCCAUCUGAUGGAUUAUCCUGGCCA
rnacentral:lncRNA from 1 species